GGGGCUCGGAAGCUUCUGCCCGCGCGGAGAUAAACAAGCACCGCGACCGCCGAGCAGCGCCGAACCCAGCGCGCCCAGUCAGACCCCAGGGCCUGUGUACCGAGCAUGCGCAGUUCCCGCCCAAGCCAGGAGCAGCGUCAACCUGAGACUCCCGAGACAUUAAGAAUUCGGAAGGGAUGAGAUGGUAGAGGGGCUAGAGCUACCUCCAAGCUUUAUCCUGAGGCGGGGAGUGAAGGAGAGAUGCCCAAGGCCCAAGAGGGGCCGCGAGGGCCUUUGUCCGAUGCCACCCAGUCUGUCAGCACUCCUAGAGCUUUGGUUUUAUCUUGUAUUAGCAUGUGAAGCUUUAAGGGGGGGGCACCUACAGGCUUCUGACUGAAGUUGUGUAAACGCAACAAAAUGAAGCUUUGGAGCGUUAGGACAUUGAUGGGAGGGUGACGCCCCCCUCUAGCAGCGCGCCAGAGGGGCGAGUCAGAGGCGGCCACACACCACGGAAGUCGGGUCCAAGCCCGCUGACGUCGCCGGGGUCCCGCCCACCAACCCUCUGGACCCGCCCACAUUUCUUCUAGACCCGCCCCUUUCGGUGCCGAACUGAAGUCGAGCUCUUCCCACGCCCUGUCAGCCACGGGUGAGUUGAAAACCUGGAGAGCGGAAUCCCGAACGGCAGCCGGAAGGCCCUGGACUCCUCAUAGCAACAGCCAGCUAGGGGCAUCUAGUGGGAAGCUGGGAUUCAUUCUAGCCAACCACAUCACGUCUCUGUACCACAAGGUACCAUUCACGACCAAUAAGAGAGCGCCCCCAUACCACGUGCCUUUACUCCUUCAACCAAUCGAGAAAAACGCUAGUCGUAGGAUCCGCAAGCCCACCUCCCAGUGCCUUGCCAGGCGGGGCUCUUCGCGCACGCUCUGCCAACCAAUCGUAGGUGAGCUGGCGAGUGACGGAAGCUUCGGCCAAGCCAACCAGAGCUCGCGAGCCCCUUGCCACCGAGGCCGGCGGGAUGGAGACAGGGACCGGCUGCUGGGGUUUGGGAGGGGCAGAGAUUGAGGAGCCAGUUGCUGUGCCCUGUUCUGGCAAAAGAACAAGAUGCGUUGCAAGCCAGAAUGAUGAAUUCCACUUUUCACGUCGCCUCCGUGGCAUUCUGCCUAAAUGAUGGGCAUGGAAAUGGUGCUGAGGGAUGUGGGCUGAAUCGAGAACACAGGGACUUUUGUCUUCAGGGUGAGAAAUGUUCCGGUCCUUAAGGAAACAUCGUGCAGCAGUUGCAUGGGUCUUCCAGGCGUUCCUCCCAAAACAUUAUUUUUUUUCUUUCACUAUUGAGUUUUAAAACUUAGCGUUCUGUCGCUAGCAUUGCAUCUUAGUUACACAUCCUCUCCCACCCAUAACGUCAAAUUUAGGAGACGAUACAUCCCCAAGCUUUCCUGCAUUAUUUUUUGCAGUAACUGGUUAUUCAGUUUACUUUCUUUAAACUAUGUCCUUCUCAAACUAGUCUCACCUGUUCGUUACUGUCGCACAUUUCCUGCGAAUAACACGUUUCUGUAGUUCUGUUGUUAGAGCCUGGCAUACCUCUCCCCGUUCCUCUUUCCCACAAGGUCAUCAUGCAGAGGGGAUUUUGGUCUGAGUUAAAAGCCAGGUAUUCUUUCACCAUCUUUUCUGUCGAUAGUCAAACUACUACAAAGACUACUCAAAUUUAGUAGUUUCUUAUUUCCCUAUAGCUUCGUUAUAUUAGAAUGGAUAACUUAUAUUUGCAUUACCUUGCUGUAAUGAACACACACCAAGUUUUCAUUUAAAAUUAUCAAGGACAAAUGUCCUCUGAAUUUAAAAAUGUGUAUGUAGUAAAAUAUAACUCAGCAUUUCUUGAUUACAUAUCAUUAAAAUAUGAAUGGUACUAUCUGAGCCACCAGAAUCAGCAGUGAAGGUAUUAUAUUAAUAAAAAGGACUAAGAAUCAGGACUGUUUUAAGGGAACUGGAACCGAAGAGGAUCUACUAUUUCAUCCUAGGCUAGUUAACAUGAAAUAGUGAAUUAAAAUUGAAAGAGCUUACAUGGAUGCUUCAUAUCUGAGCUACUUUGGCAGGGAUGUUUCAAGAGGAUGUAGGGAACAGUGUGUUCUGUACUAAAGGAAAACCCCUGCUUGGAACAAAGGUGUUGCUGAGUAGUUCUGCCAGAGACUUUCAUUUCAAAGGCAGAAUUUUAUUUCACAGGAAAUGUGAAUCUGAAAGUAUUUUACUAGUAAUUAGCUUUUAAAAUAGCAAGUGACUUCAUGUUCUUCAUUUAUGCUUGGAAGCUGGACAUGGAAUUUGUGGGGAAUUUUUCUGACUUUUGUGAAAUUGUUAGGGACACGCCAUAUUCUAGCUAAGAAAUAAAGAUGUACCAAACUCGGCUUUCACCUGAGACAUCACCCACUGCCUACGGAACAGUCCUAAGGCGAUGGUGAGCCAAGAUAUUAAGGGAUAUCAACUAAGUGUCCUGAGUUGGUGAUGUUCUAGCGGGGACCCCAGCUCCUUGUACUUUCAUCCUCAUCUCCAGUGAAAUUCUCACAGGAUUCAUCAUCAUGACAGCACUCGCUAAGUGUUCAAUCUUCUUGUCCUCAUUUGUAGAUGGUAAAACUGAGACACAGAGAGGUUAAAGGUCUGGCCAAAGGCUCACAGUUAGUAACUAGUGGGAGACAAGAUUGGUGCCUAGGCAAUCUGACCUCAAAGCCACUUCUCUUCCCAUAUUUGAAGACAUUAAACUGGGACAUUGGCGUGAGUGACUGAUAUAGACAGAUUCUGUCACAUCCCUGGCUGCUGUUAUCACUGGUAAGUUGCGGCUUAGAUCUCUACCUCAGCCUUUCACUGAUGCACAUUCUCAGUUUUACUAGGUAACACAUAAUAGUUUUCUAAAGUGAUACCAAUUUAAACUCCAAACACUACAUAAGAGUACCUUUUGUUGAAUGUUUAAAUUUUUUGCUGACCUGAUAUAUAUGAAAUGGUACCUCGUUAUGGUUUUAAUUGCAUUUCCCCGAUUUUUAAUGGAGAAUUUUUCAUGUUUCGGGGCCAUUUAUGUUUCCUCUUCUAUGAAAUGCCUGUUCAUGUCUUUUGCUUAUUUUUAUAUUGGGUUGUUUAUCCCUUUUUGUAUUGUUUUGUAGGAGUCCUUAACAUAUUCAAAUAUUAAUUUUUAUCUCCUGUGUGUGUAUCAAGUAUCUUCUUUUAGUUCAUUUUCUUGUCUUCCUUUAGAGCCCUUAGACAAGUAGAAUUUCUUAAUUUCAAAGGAGUUGAAUUUAUUAAUUUUUCCCCGAAGAUUCUAAACUUUAUAAAAACAUUUCAUGUAUCUUCCCCUCCCCCCAAGAUGGGAAACAUAUUCUUAUGCACUAUCUUCUCAAAAAUGUAUAAUUUUUCCCUUCACAAUGAAACCUUCUAUCUAAUUUGAAUAGAUGAUUUUUAUGAAUGGUGGGAGGUAAGGGUUCAACCUAAAUUUUUUUUUAAUCCAUUGCAUAACCAAAUUCCCUAGUAGCAUUUAUUGCAUAAUUCCCCUGUCCCUACUGAUCUUCAAUGCCUGUCACUCUGUCAUGAGCCAAGGUUUUUUUUGUUUUGUUUUUUUGUUUUUGUUUUUUUUUUUAAAAUGUGGGCUGUUUCUGGCUUUUCUGUUUUAUUCCAUUGGUCUUCCUUGUCUAACACUAUAUCAGUUCCACACUGCCUUAGUUACUACAGUUUUUGAAUUAGCCCUGGUAGGGGUUGGGAGAGCUCUUUACCUUAUUCUCCUUCAAGAGUGUUUUGGCUGUUCCUAGUUCUUUGCUUUUCUGUAUACAUUUUAGAAUCAGUUUUCCAGGUACCAUAAAUAAUGCUGUUAAUAUUUUGAUUCAAUUGCAUUAAAGCUAUAGAUUAAUAUGGGAAGAUGUGAUAUCUUAAUGAUAUUGUUUUAUUUCCCAUUUGUGCACAUGGAAUAUCUCUCUGCUUAUUAAGAUCUUACAAAAAAGCUGAAAAUUUUCUCAAAAAGCACUUGCACAUAUUUUGUCAUAUUAAUUCCUAGGUAUGUCAUCUGGUUCAUAAAAACCUCAUUUACAGCUCCCCAGUCUUUCUUUCCCUGUAUGUUGUUGGAUGCUCACAAUAACUUUGGAAGUCACAAGUUGAACAGGAUGGCAUCUCCAUCAGUGGGCCCACAAGUGACUUGGUGGAGUAGAGCCCCAUCUCUCACCUAUUUCCCAUUAAAUUAGCUUUACCUGCUAAGAAACAAAUUCUUUUGUUAAGCCACUGAGAUGUAUCUAUUACAACAAAUAAGAUUAUCUUAAUUAAUGCAUAUUAAUUUUAAUCUUGGAAAUCUGAUAAACAUUUAUUAAUCUUAAUAUUUACCUGUUGAUUCUU
rnacentral:lncRNA from 1 species